CAUAUGCUUGUCUCAAAGAUUAAGCCAUGCAUGUCUCAGUACAAGCCAAAUUAAGGUGAAACCGCGAAAGGCUCAUUAAAUCAGUUAUGGUUCCUUAGAUCGUACCCACAUUUACUUGGAUAACUGUGGUAAUUCUAGAGCUAAUACAUGCAAACAGAGUUCCGACCGGAGACGGGAGGAAUGCUUUUAUUAGAUCAAAACCAAUCGGCGGCGGGUUCGCCCGUUCGCCGCUCAAUUUGGUGACUCUGAAUAACUUUCGGCUGAUCGCACGGUCUCGCACCGGCGACGCAUCUUUCAAAUGUCUGCCUUAUCAACUGUCGAUGGUAGGUUCUGCGCCUACCAUGGUCGUAACGGGUAACGGGGAAUCAGGGUUCGAUUCCGGAGAGGGAGCCUGAGAAACGGCUACCACAUCCAAGGAAGGCAGCAGGCGCGCAAAUUACCCACUCCCGGCACGGGGAGGUAGUGACGAAAAAUAACGAUACGGGACUCAUCCGAGGCCCCGUAAUCGGAAUGAGUACACUUUAAAUCCUUUAACGAGGAUCAAUUGGAGGGCAAGUCUGGUGCCAGCAGCCGCGGUAAUUCCAGCUCCAAU
rnacentral:rRNA from 1 species